CUCUUCCCGCCCCCUCCCUCGCGGAGUGUGAUUGUUUUGUCUGGAAAAAAACCCAAAGUAUAACAAGGGGAGAACAGUUAGUGCUGAUUUCCAUUUGCAUAAAUUUUCAUAUAUUUUGGUGAAAAUAAUAGACGGGCGGAGAGCGGGGCUCGGCGGAGUCAGUGCGAGGGAAAUGCGGAGCGGGGAGAGCCGUGCCGGAGCCGAGAAGGCGCGCUGUGCCCCCGUCACCCCAUUAAAACCCCAAAUGAACGCCCAACCGCAUCUCCUCGGUGCUGGGAGUGCGCUCGGCCCACUCUGUUCUCCAGCCUCGUUACAUGGGUUUCUGUCUCUCCUCAGCAUCCCCUUGAAUGGCAUCUACUGCACGUGCUAUGUGACAGAUCCAAACAAACAACAGAGGGGAAAGAGCCUCGCUUAACUGAUUAGAGGAGAGAAGCAGUGAAAGGGAAUAUGCACAAAGCGCUGCCAAGUUCACAGAGCAAAGGAUAAGACAAAAAAUAGAAUCAUUUCACUAUUUUUUUUUCUUUAUUUAGAGCGAUGUGAGGUAUUGCUUAUAAUAACAGCAGGGAAAUAAUUUUCAGACAAAAAUGUGACUUCUUAAUCAAGGGUCUCUAAUUCAAAAUAUAUUUAUUUAAUAAACAGUAAUUAUGAUAGCUGCAACUACUCAUUCAUAUCAAUAAUUCAUUCAGAAGUAAACCAUAUCAACAUAUUAGCAUUUAUUUUUCCUUUUAAUCGGCUGUGAUUUAAAAUAAAUGUAAAUCGUCAUAAUCAUUCAGCUCCAUAUGCUGGGAGAGGAAAAGUCACCUUAAACCAGAUGCAUAUUUUGAGAAAAAGAGAAGACGAGUUGUUCUAAGGAAACAACGUAUGGGGGCAGAUCUUAAGCUGGGGUAAAGAUGGGCUGCCCUCUGGAAGUCAACUUAGCUCUGAUGAUUGACACCAGCCAAAACCAGUCAGCAGUUUUAAGACCUGGAGUUUUUAGGGAGUUUUCUGUGGAUCCAUGUAUUGAUUUCCUUCUGUAAGUAAAGAGAUAAGUACAGUUUCUUCCAGUUUUAAUCAGGAAAAGGCAGUAUACACGAUUAACAAAAUUCCAACUUGAAGAUUUUUAUGUGUGGAAACAAUAGGCUGCUUUGCCUGAGUUGUAGGCCUGUGCUGCUUGUGUGAGUGUGUAUAUGUGUGGAGCUGCAUGUAUUAUUUCCCAUCCCCGUUUAGUUAGCCAAACCCUCUCCCAACUUUUACCUUUAACAACCCACCUCAUUUUGACAUCUCUUUUUAAUCUCCUGAACCCAUUAGCUCUUGUUGAAAUUACUUCUUUAUGCCCCUGGUUCAAGAUCCAGACAGCACUGUUUUGAUGCUGUGGAGCAUGACUCCAAGUGUUAGAAAACUGGUUUUUUUGCUUCAGACACAGGGAAGAAGUGAUCAAGGGCUAGGGUCCCAGCCAGUAUGUGCUACUGCUGUUAGACACUCAGUGCAUAUCUUACAGCAACAGCUCUUUCCCUUUUGCUUUCAGUAGGCGAAGCCAGGGAUCAUGCCUGGGAGAUUAAUGUGAUGAGGAUGAGCCUGCGAAGCCUUUGGUCCUCCUUGUGUGAGCCUGCUCUGCUUGCUCAUACACAGCACACCUUUGGGAACUCACUGCAUAAGGCCCUCUUGUACUGCCAUGAGCUAAGGGGAGCCAUUUUCCUGCUCCACGCAGGCUGCCCUGUGUUCUUGCUGGGGGAACAAGGCCACAACACCCUUCACCCUGAGUUCAACAGCAGUGCUUUCCAGGGGGUGCCUUGGGGCAGGAUGGCAUGAGUAGCUGGAAAGCCACAGCAGAGCCUAGCCCUGCGAAAAGGCAUUUUCACAGCCUCCCAGGUGAGUUUUGUUGUCCACACGACCGUGGCACACAGCUGGCUGUUCUCCUGCUUUCUUUCAAGGCUGGGCUCUCCGUGCUGCUGCCCUGCACUGGGCAUGCAGCCACCGGGCAGCCGAGCUAAAGUGAUACCUGACUUUUGUUCUUUUCCAGUCUCUGCAGUGCUAUACAUUUUUACAUUCCUCCAACAGUUUCUAAGGAGAAAAGUGAGUCACGUUGCUUAGUUUUCCCCAUCCUCAUAGAGAGGAGACAUGUUUCUUUUUUUCCCCCCACAAGUUAUUGUAUUGUUCCUCUUUAUGGUGUGGCUCUGAUUUAGUGCUGGAUGAAGCUCAAAAGGAGGAUUAGUGUAAAUCUAUUCCCAUAUGCUUGGAUGCAUUUCUGCACCCUGUCUGUACCAUCCUCACUGCUUUUGAUGGAAAAAGCUGGGCUAUAAACCUGAUGAGAACAGGCUUCCAUGCAAGAUGUUUAGUAUUUCCUGCUUCCACUUGGGCCAGUGAUACGGCACAUCCAGCCCCUUUCGGCCCUUCAUCUCUCAGUCAUGGUCUUGUCAGAAAUUCAGAAAAUCACUAUGGCAGAAAAUGAAUAGGGGAAUAAAAGGAAUCUGAUUUUUCUCCACUUUAAUAAUGGCUAGAUUUGGGUUUAGCUCCACCUUUGGCUGAAAUUUUGCUGGAGGAUGGGCACAGGUAGAAUGUUUUUAUUUGAACGGAAUUGGUUCAUCCAUCUUUUAGAUGAUGGCACUGAAGUGUGAGCCCAUUUUUAUGGUCCUCAGAGAGAAUCUGUGCUUCUUUUUAAGAGAUGCACCUUCUGGGAAAGGUAGGGCUGGCUAUAAAAGCCCUGAUUGUAUUGUAUUCAAGCAAACCGGGAGCGCAGGAGGGGAGGAACAGAGACAGCGAUAGAAGGAAGGAGAGAUUUUCCAAGUGUAUGAGAUGUGUUAUGCUUUGGUAUCACAGGCUUUGCUAUGCCUAAUGCUUGGGCAUUUUCUGGGUGGUAAUUGAAUUGCUUAAUAGCCAAACACCAGGCUGCACUGAACUCAGUCCUAAAACUGCAGCGCUAUUGCCAUUAAGGGGCUUUCUUCUUUACUCAUCAUUUUCUAAAGAAUUUCUCAAUAGUACUGCAAUCAGUCACUCAUUUUUUGCCGAUUCUCCUCUCCAUUACAAAUGUGUCUGAGUUUGUGAGGGAGAGGCUGUGUUUUCUCAACCAAAUCUCCCACUCCUUGGUUUAUUAAUAAACAAAAAUUAACUUACAGAUUUGACUGAAAAUACAGGCUCUUUCCAUACCUGUGUAGUCCACUGGAUGCAGGAGGAGUUUCAGCCAGCCUGGCAAAGGCACCUUUUCCACGUGCCCCAGCCGGGCUCCUGCAUUGCUCCCCGAGUUUCUCUUGCUCCAUACAAUGGCUGACAUUGUCUGCAAGGAGCAACUCAGAUUACGGCCCCCUCCAGAUGCGCUGCCCCUGACCCUGCUCCUGCCCCAGGCUGCCCACACUCUGCCCUCCCCGUAAGCACGGAGACUUCAGCUGAGCCGGCUGCUGCCUGGGAGUGUUGAUUCAGGUCUUGAGGGUGGCCUCGGAUGCAUUUUAACAGGCAGCGCAGGCACUCCACGGGGAUAACAUGGAAUGAUUAUUUUAGGGCAGAUUUUCCCCUAAAAAAACCCAUAGUUCUACAUGCACGCAGUUUGAUCUUCACACAAAGGAUUUAUAUAAGAACUCACUUCCCUCUGUCGGUUAUGAAAAAAAAGCAUGCUGGCAGGAUUUAGGGAAGUGUGCAAGCUAGAGGAUAGCUGCAGACAAAAGAGAGUUUUUCUUCUAAGAACAUCCUCACAGCUGGAGCCCUGGCAGCGCUGCUGUCAGAAUGCUGAGGUGUUAUCUGGCCGGGGCAAGGCACAGUGUCUGCUUGGCACCCUCCUGACACACAAAUUUGGCCAGCACUUGUCAGAGCACUGUUCCCUACCUGCACCCACGUGCACAAAUCUUUUCCAUUCAGUGCCUACUUUUUGGGAAUCUUAUACCCUGCCAGUAUGCUGUAUGCCAAUGAGGAGAGUAAGGGUGGAGGAAGAAACUCUUUGUGACUCCUUUACCUGCUAAAGAGAGACCAAGCUCACCUGGGCUCUCAUGAAUAACAGUGCUGCAGUGGCUCUAGACCAGCCCAAAGCAAUCGUCCCAACUCCUAGGUACCCUGAAAAAAAUAUGCCUUACAUCUCAGAGUGGAGAGACUUAAAGAUGGGUCUGCUGGAACAACGACUAAGUGGGAUGGGAAAGAUGUUCCCUUUUAGAGCCCGCACCCCCAGAAGUAUUUCUCAGGUCAGAUCAUCACCUAUGAGUAUAGCACCAUCUGACCUUGAUCUGCGCUGUGGUGAGAAGGAAAUGUGUGCAACAGUUUGAAUCUGCUCAACUUUUGUCUGUCUUGGACUGGCCCCAUUCAGCCCAUCUCUGCCUCUCUAAGGGGAGCAAGUGCCAGAUGCAAAGACAAAGCCUAACAAUACAACCUGUGUGCUUGCCUUUAAUGUAUCAUGAUGCUUAAAACUGAAUAUAAGCAGGGAUGAUGCUUUAGAUCUUACUCAAAUCUCAGUGUAACUUUGAGGUUGUCAGAUGAUACUGAAGUGAGAGAUCUAGAGUAGGAAUAUUAGUGAACACAAAAGUCAUGAUAUUUACUCAGUUUAUGCAUUUUCUCUUUUUUUUUUUCCAUGAAACUUGCAUAACUGGCGUGUAAUUGUUUUGCUAAGUGAGCCUUGAAAGCAAAAGUCUUGAUAGCUGUCAAAUAUCUUCUUUGUAGUAUAGUGUGUUGUCCUCAGAAGCUAAUCAGUAGAACUUGCUCAGAAGAACUUAAUCAGCAGAACUGAGCACAUUGUCAGUGCUUAACAAAUAAUAAAUUAUAAUAAUAACAGCAGUUCCUUUUGACACAACCUAUCAAACUUUUGCUUUAUUUCAGGGAGUGCCUUCCUUGCCUCUAGUUAAGAUUUAUACCGACUGCCGCUCUGCUUACUACGGUUGAGAGGAUGGGUGAUAUGGCCUAACAGGGUGGAAGUAUUGAUCGAAAUGAAACUUUGACAAAUGGCUGGAACAGAAUCUUGAGAAAGUUCCUUGACUGUUCCUUUCCAUUCAAAAAGAGAAUUUCAGAGUAAAUUUGAUCAGUUCAAUUGUUCAAAGGUAAAAUGCUAUGCUUACAAGUUAAUAGAAUUACUUUUGAAUUUCCCAAGUCCCUUUUAUUUUUUUUAAGAGAUACUCAUUAGGAUUUCCUUACAGAAAGGUGAACGUAUCCAACAGCACAUCUAUUAUUAUUAAUUGUUAUUAUUUUAAGGGGAUUGGAUAGCUCAGAGGGUUGUUAACAGAUCUGAGGCUAUCACUUCUUUGUCACCACUGUAAUUUGGCUCGAGCUGGGAGUUACUGACAGUCAUUUCAUUUUCUGUUUGUUUGGUGGUUUAUGUGCAAUUAGUUGUUGGGUUUUAUUCACUUCCAACAAGAUGUAUAUGCACAUUAUAAAGAAAACCACCGGGUCAGCUCUAAGCUGCUGCUAAUUGUCUCAGGCUUAAAUGGAGCCGUGUCAAUUUAUCCCAGUUGAGGAUCUGACCAAGGAUCACAACUGGCAUUAAUUAGCAGAUGUGUUAUCAGACUCCGCGGAGAUGCCCCGGGUUGAGUGACGGCAGGCCAACACCAUGCACGGUGCAGGCAGGUGGGAGCUCCAGGUCCUCCCUACAGGCACAUUGGUGGCUUCUACUGCUGCAUGGCAUGGCCAUGCCACCAGCCUUCGUGAGAAGGACCUCCACAGCAGGGUGCAGCCAGUCAUAUUAGAGCCCAAGCAAUGCAAGGCAGCUACUAAAAAUCAGGGAGGGGGGAAAAGGAAAGAGGUGUAGUGCUGGAAUGAGUCACCCUGGAGCUCGGUGUGCAUGAGACUGCUCUGCUAGUUCUAAAUGAAACCACUGACUGAUAUUCUGGGGGUACGCAUGCACCAUCUGAGCUAAUACUAGUGCUGGCUGCACAUGCGUGACAGAAGGGUGAAGGAGAUGCUGCUGAAAAUACAGGUACCCAAAGGCCACAGAACAAACCUGGUCCUCACAUUGCUCAGGGAGUAAUAUCCUCAGCCUUCACCAGCUACUGAUACUCUUUACAAAGUGGCUCAAGUUCACAGACCUCAUGCUUUUUAAUGCACUUGAAAACAUCUUCUUCUCGCUCUAAGACUUUUUUACUGUAACCCAGGAAAUGGAAAGAACAGGAGAGUGGAAGUUCAGUAGUAGCAGGAACACAGAAGUCAUAAGGCUGACCUAGACAAUGGGAAGAUGCAGAAUAUUUUAGUAACGUGCUGUAGUAACUGUCACCUGCAAAAUGUCCAUCAGCACUUCUGCAAAUUCUUUCCACCAUUCUCAACAAGAUAACAAAAGGUAAGCCUAGUUGCAGACAUUGAGACUUUGGUUUUUCUCACCUUCCUCUUAACCUCUUUUGCCAAGACACAUCUGGGUCCUUCUCUGAAUAGACACCUCUGGGUUCAAAGCCACAGAAUGAGAUGACUGAGGCUCGGGUGGGAUAUAGAUAUCAAGGCUAGGAAUUCCAGUCCACACAUCUGCAGAGUUCAUCACCUGUAUUUUGCUAAUAAAGAUCCCAAGACAUCUAACAUCUUUCUCACGCUUGUGCUUGUUGGCCAGGCAGUCACCAGCUUAACUGGGCUGAACUGUAGCAAAACCUCUUCAAAAAGCAUCCUGGCAAAGCAUGUGUAACACACAGCGAGGAUUGGGCAGCACAUAACAUACAGCAGCUGUCUUCACUUUGCUUCAAAGUAAAUAUCUUCAAUGCCCACCUGAGCUUUGGGGAUUUCAAGCCCUUAUCUCUUAUCUGCAAAGAGAGCAGGGACUCUGGCCAGGAAGCUACGAGUAUUCAAGGGGGAAGAUAUUUUCUAUACUUCCUGCAUACCAUGUAGUGGUACUCACAUGCAUGUGGUUCUCUGGGAGGAGUUUAAAGCAAUAAGGUGGAGGAUAGGAUACGUUUUCCAUCCCUCCCUGUGCUGACUUAGCUUGUUCUACACUUAGCUGUUUUGGAUUGGCACAAGAUAGAGGAUUUUGUUCGGUAUGCUCACUGCUGUGUAAGGUGUUUCAAAAAUAUUGGCUUUGCAGCCUAAUGAAAAUACAGGGAUUUUUCAGAAAAAUCAGUAGAACCUAUCCUCUACGGAUACGCAGAUGUAGCGAUUAUUGGAGUUUUAAUUAAAAUAGCAGGUAAAAUAAGUAUAAUGGUGUGUUAUUAUUUCAGAGAUAACAACAGAAUAAAGGUGCCCAUUUCUUUCUUGAGUGCAAUUUUCUAAAUGAAAAAGUAAACAUUAAUAUCUUCAGCGAUCUUACUGAUCUUGUACGAUAAUUUAGAAAAAUAUCUCUAUUAGGGAUAGUUAUAUAUGCUUUUUGUUGGAAAUGCAAUCACACAAUAUGCACAUAGCUGCAAUCUGUAGACAGAUUAAGUAAAUUAAAUCACUCAACGUCUUUUUUCAAUAGCUCUGAAGUUAAAAGUAAUUUGCAAAGAAAAUACUCAGUUUCAAUUGGUUUGUAAUAUCUGUUAAUGAUCUUUGGAAAAAUUUCUGAUAACACACGGGAAUUCCCUCAGGGACAGGGUUGUGAAUAAGUGGGUUUUUUUAAGUUUCAGAUGUCAUUAGCUAGUGAUUUCUUUGAAGUAAAAAGCUGUUACGGAAUAAAUUGCAGAGGUUUACGAGUAUACAGGACAAUCCUUUUUGUGAAUAAUAUACUUUUUUUUUCAUGGCACUUUCUGCCCCCAAAAGAAGAAAUUUAAGAUCUAACUUAUCAUUGCAAACAUACUGGAAUCACAAUGGCACUGGGAUUUUGUGCUUACUUUCUGUGUCUUUAUAUGAAUGUACAGUGUAAAUCUCCUAGUUGAAGGAUCUGUUUUGCUCCCUUUUGAUGUAAUUCCUCUUUUUUUUUUCCCCUGACAGAUAACUUUUCGGACCACAAAGCUGAAACACUUCCUGUGACUCAAAUGGCUCCAGCACAGCUAUUUCCUAGAAGACAUCCUCCCUGAUUUCUUGUGGUGCCUGUUAGAUUGCUGAAGUUGCAGUGCAGAGAUAAACCAGAUACCAGAAUAGAGGAACGUUUCUCAGAAGGACCAGUGAGACAUCUCCUGACCUCUGUCUCCAUCUGAGGAUAUAUCUGGAGUAGAGCAGAGAAGCAGAGGCACCACAGACUACAGAUACCCAUGGGGAAUGUUGUUCUGCCUCAAGGUUCAGCUCUACAAUAUGGCCAUGGACCGUAUAUACCCAUAGGUUCCUGUGAGUGGGUGAAGUGGGUGAGGGUUUAGACAGAGGCUGGGAUGAGUCUGAAGGGAUGCUGAUCUGGGUGGUGGGGGACUGGGACUCCAUGGCAUACUGUCACAAAUCAAAAGAUAAGUCUAGUUACAGCCAUUCAGCCUUUGAUUUUCUCGCCUUCCUCCUAAACUAUUUUCCCAAGAACUUAUUUGUCUCAGUCUGCGUUUUCCUUAUCUGCAGACAGGGCUAUGAGGCAUACCAUACUACAAUGAAUAUGGGUACUCACUCCAUGCUGGGCUGUGGGAGAAAGUUUUGCACAGCUCUAGUAAAACAGGUGAACAGCUACAGGUUUGAAAAGCCUCCUAGCCUUCCCUGAACCUCAAAAGGCCCAGUGUAGGAUUCCUCACCCAUCCUGAUUAUCCAUAAGUAGAUCAGACAGCAUCUCAUUUCCUAGACACAAACAUUCAGCGGUGUUCUGCAGUUGCUUCAAGAGUAAAGAAAAUUCCUCCUGGCUCCUACUGAGCAGUCACUGGCAUUGGUCAACCAUAGCACACCUUGUCUUUGCCAGAAGCCAGUAUCAGACAAUAUGAAAGGGAACUGCCCCCUCCUUCCUGUGUAUGUAAAUGUAUAACAGUUUACCACGGAAGAUGAUGCCUUUCUGACUCCAUCUACUGACUAGCUUUUACCAAGAACUACUGACACUAUUACAUAAUACUUGUUAGUAAAACUCUCACAGAUUUUUUCAAGGCCAGGAACAACCAUUAUUAUCAUCCAGUCUGAUCUUCUGCAUAAUAUAUGCUACUGAAUUUAACCCAAUCUGAACUUGGUGUGUAGAUUUGCUUUUAUGUCUCAAAAUGCCUCCUCAUUUACAAAUAUGAUACUGUUUCACCGAGUACUAUCUGUGCAGCAGCAAGUUCCAUUAAUUAACUGUACAUUGUUUGGAAAAGCAAUACCUCUUAUCCGUUUGAAAUUCGAUACCUCUUCGUUUCACCUUGCAGGAUAGGAAAGGGUUUUUAUUCCUUUGCUGCUAAUUAGGUUGGAGGAUCAUGAGGACAAAAUGUUAUUUAUAUUAUAGUCGUGCUUAAGGAGAGCUCUGAUGAAGCCUGGGGAUCCCACUGCACAAAGUGAGGGAGACCGUGCAAUUCCUUCAGGACUGAGACUAUUUGAAUGGACGAAUGGCAUAUUUUCAAAGGAGCUGAACGAUUUCACCAAAACGAAUGUCAGACAAGUCAAUGGAUUCAUACUUCUCAAUCACCUAUACAUUUCUAAAAAAUCAAUCCAAAGUUUGAAGGAAAGAAAGGCAUGGAAAAACAAAGUCCCUGAAGCCAAGAUCAAGAAAUAAGUUUGGUAUGUAGUCAGUGAAAAGAAAAACGUGUUGCUAAUAUGCAGCUCUGUGUCCACUGUCCAUAGGUCACUUUGGCUUCCAGAGGCUCAUGGUCUUAAAGUCCUCCCUUUAAGAGAGCAGGGUGCACUGGGCAAAGUACAAUGUCUGCUGCAUGCACAGUCCCCAGUUCUUUUGCCCUGGGGCCAAGGACAGCUACAUUAUCUCAGGCAACAGCGGUUAUCCAAGUUUAUGGAAAGGGUUCACGUAAGAUUUGCAGUCCCAUGAGGGUCAGUCUGCCUUGAGAGAUAGGCUGGGGUUUGUGUUCUCUCUCUCUUCUCAAGGAAAUUCCCCAUCCUUUUGACUUCUAUCUUUUUUUAUUGCCAUUCUCUGGACUUCUUCUAUUUCUACUUUCUUUUUUACAGGGAUGAGGUGACCAAAUUUGAAGACAGUAUUCAAAGUGAGGAUGUGCCACUGAUUUAUAUAAUGGCAUUAUAAUAUUUUCCAUAUUAUUCUCUAAAACUCUUUUCUUCAUACAAACCCCUUAAGAUUCUUUUUAAUUCUUUGAACUAUAGUGCCUUUUAACAUCUGUAGUUUACUCUGAUCAGAUUUUGACAAAGGAAUAAAAGGCUCCAUUUUUCACAUAGAAUUUUAUUUAUUGUUUGAACUUUAGAGGAGAAAUUGGUUAACUUACAAUUUAAAAUUCUUGGCAAUGUAGACCAUUGGACAAGGAUUUCAUUAUCAGCCCUUCUGUACUUUCUGUAGAAAUGCUUAAAGUUGGUGGACAGAGUCUUGGCUAAAAAGACUUUACUUUCGUACUAUAAACAUAGCCAAAGACUUAGUUUGGAGCUGCUAGCAUCCCCAAAGAUGUCAGAGAUAUCAUUGUUCUGUACCCCCUUCCUGAUGCAGUGUGCUGGGGCCAUGCAUUGACAUGUCAUCCAGCCAGAGUUGUGCGUGUGUGCAAGCGGUACCCAAAUGCCGUGAUCUUCUCUUUACCUUACCACGUACUUCCACAGUAGGUCAGGAAAAGACCCCUCUGAAAAUGAGGUGCUUGAUGACUGCAGAGGGUGAGAAUCUUGCUCUCAUGUCACAGCUGGGCGUGAUGCCUUCAUCAGGGUAUUAGAAAAGGCUCGAGGAAAACAGUUACAUCCAUUCUAUUGCUUAAGACACUUCCUGCAGCUACUGACUCGUCUUAGAGUUACCAAUCCAAAUGCUGACCCUGCCUGACCCUACUUAUCUUUUAAAAGCUGACAAGAUCACAGCCUGAAGCAGUAUAGCCACAGGCUCAAUACUGGCUACCAAAAUGUCUGUUUAGUAUUUUCAAAAACGCUGCUCUUAAGAUUUACAAUACAAGCUGCUGGAUGUAUGGACAACACUGAAACACAACCCUGACCCCUGAACAUUCAGCCCUACUUACACAGAAAUUUGUGCCUCUCGAGGGGCCAGCACUGAGUUGCUGCAAAACAGUUAUUCCCUACCUGCAAGUGAGCUGGAAUUAAAGCAUCAUAGGGUUGUAUGCAUUCAGAUACUGGGUAAAAAUAUUUGAAAACUACAGCCUUGAUUUCAGAAUUCACUGACAACUUCUUUCAUUAGCUGCAUUACUGCUUUAACAGUAGAAAGAGUUCCGCCCUUUUUGUGUAAUAUCUUUUUUGGUUUAGUAUAGAAAAUCGUCCUAAUUCUUCUAUGACCAAAGCAGUUUUUCAUCAGAAGUUGUUUUUAGAUGAACUGUAAGUUUCUUCCCUAGCAGUGAAAGAAGCUCAUAUUUUUCUGAAUAUUUCUAAGGUUAAAUGGAUAAACACAGCUUUAAAUACUCAUGAAACACUAAGGGACCGAUCUAGUUGAGUUGUUUGUGCAUUCAUACAUGAUAUAAAUUCAUGGUUCUUGCAGGUUUUUUUUUUUUUUAACAGCAAAGAUAUGGAAAAGACAAUUGAGGUCUUAUUGCUCCUGUUGGAAACUUCUGCCGACUACAGCAAGAGUUGGACUGGGCCCAGAGAAACCAGAUACAUACAAGUUGCAAUGAGUUGGCCACACAAGCAAGGAAAAUCACAGAUAACGGAUGCACACAAAUUAGUAAUGUACCUUUUAGGUCAUCCAGUACAGCUUGCUGACACAUUGAGAUUGUCUCCUAUGGCAUAUUUUUGGUUGCUUUGGAUGACUGGAUUAAAUGUCCUAAGUAAUGCCAUUUACUUAAGGAGAGAUUGUGCUGCCCAGUAUAUCCUGUUAGAAGUCUUUUUUUCCUUUCUUAACAUCAUCAUAUUUCUCCCAGUUUUGUUCCUUUGCAAACCUCCUUAUUUCCCUUCUGCGAUGCUAUUUUUUCUCCAGUGUCUUUAGACUAAUGUGAUGUUCCAUUUAGUUAACAUUAAGUCAGUUCAUACCUAUUUAGAUCAUUUAAUCUUUUCUGAUAAAUCAGUCCUUUCAGUCUCCUGGUUAUUUUCUCAUCUCCUCUUGUCCCACUCCUGUCUGUCAGUAGCUUUUUUAGCUAUGAUAUUUUAAAGAUGUGGUGCAUUUAUCUGAACUAACGGCAGGUUGGGCACAGACUUGAGCACCCUCAAUACCUUCUCACUGAAAACCACUCAAGGGAAGGCCACUGGCACUCUGUGCAAACAAGCAGGCAGAGCAUUCUGUUCAAACCAUUUCCUUGGUAUCACCUGUUUUACUGAUCAUCAACAAAAAACAUUUAAACAUUUAGCCUAGUGAUUCAAAAACCAAACAUGGGUCACUAUAGAUUAAUUAUAUUUUUUCAUAAUGCUAGGAAAUAUAAUGGCAGAGAGGAAAAUACAUUUGUUGUUGGUAUUUUCAAACUCUUGGUCGUGGAUAUCACAAUCUAAAAUUAUGGAAGAUGUUGUCUUGUCUAGUAACUAUAUUUGGGUGCCACUGGAGUACACUGUAGAAAGUAAUUAUAUAUGUAGUCACAAGCAUAGCUGUUCACGUCAGGCAAUAAAUUCUGAUCAACAAACAACACUCCUUUAGUGCUAAAUGAAAUCUUGGCUGUAAUUGACUGUCUUUACCUUUGUGUUCUGUUGGAUUGGAGGAAUAUCAUUUUAAUCUGCUCUCUUUAAAUUUUCAUUAAGGAACGUUUCAGCUACCUGCAGCCUCGUCUGAUGAUGUUUAAUGAUAUAAGCUAGCACGUUCUUCCGUGCACCAGCAGGGGCUUCUUUAAAUUGGUCAACCGUACAGAACAUUGUUUUCGUGUUUAAUGUACUUGGAAUCAACCUUUUAAAAUAAUGAUGUCUCUACAGACAGUUUAUAUACGUAGCACACACACAUAUGUGCAUGUGUAUGUAUGCAUAUAUACGCGUAAGUGCACACAUACAUAGAGAAACACUGAUCCUAUUCACCUUCUUGAAAACAUUUCAGCUAGUAUUAGCAUAAAUGUGCUGUUAAGUUGGCAGUGUUAUACAUUUUUGUUGGAGUUUACUUCUGUAACCUAAAAUCAAGCAGAUAAGCUGUGAAACUCAUGCAGCUGAUGACAUAACGCUGGGAUCUCAUGAUGCUGAAUCUCAUAUUUCUAGGCAUAAAGGAUGGAUGUUCCUUUCUGGAAUUAUUAUGCUGCCUAUUGCAAUAUAUGUUUUCUUGUUUUCAUGUGGGCACUGAGAUGUUCAAACCAUUAAAUGUAUAUGGUAUAAUGAGUCCUGUGUUCCUUAUUUAUUCUAAAG
ensembl:lncRNA